UUUUUUUUUUUUCCGCCUUUCGAUUUUUUGUUCAUGAUAUAUUACAAUUAAUGUGUUAGAUUUCUAGGGUUUUUAAUCGUUAUAGUCUUGUUUAUAAUCAGAUAUACUCAAUUUGAACUGAUUUAUUCAAUUUGAGCUUCAUUUUUUAGAUUCAAUGACUGUUGUCUGUGAAGAACUGCGUUUUUUGUAUUUUUUUCAUUUUAAUCGAUUUGAUUUGAUUUAUAGAUGAUAAUGUGUUCAAAAUUUAGGGUUUGAUUCCUUAUAUUGUUGUUUAUCAGAAAAUGUACUCAAUUGGAUGUAAUUUAUUUGCUUGGAGGUGGAUUUUUUAGUUAAACUAGCUGAUGUAAGAUGGCUCUGUG
rnacentral:lncRNA from 1 species